rnacentral:tRNA from 1 species
GAGGGUAUAGCUCAGUGGCAGAGCACAUGCCUAGCAUGCACAAGGUCCUGGGUUCGACCCCCCAAUAUCUCUG